AUUCUCAAUGAGUGUGACUGUUGGCAGCCACUCGACACCCUCCCCCUCCUCACUACCGCUAAUAAAUUAGCAUUUAUAUUGUUCUUGUGCGUGUUCGCUAGAAUGUGUCCUUGGGUGAUUGUUGAAAUGUUGGAUGUAAA
ensembl:ncRNA K09F5.14 ncRNA